rnacentral:rRNA from 1 species
CAAUAGCGUAUAUUAAAGUUGUUGCAGUUAAAAAGCUCGUAGUUGGAUUUCUGGUUGGAGGGCUCGGUCCGGUCCGCAAGGACUGCGCACCAGUGGCAACUCUGGCCAUCCUUGGGCGGAACGUUUCUGGUAUUAGUUUAUCGGGAUCGGGAAGCUCAUCGUUUACUGUGAAAAAAUUAGAGUGUUUAAAGCAGGCUUAUGCCGCUGAAUACAUUAGCAUGGAAUAAUAAGAUAGGACUUUGGUACUAUUUUGUUGGUUUGCAUACCAAGGUAAUGAUUAAUAGGGAUAGUUGGGGGUAUUCAUAUUUAAUUGUCAGAGGUGAAAUUCUUGGAUUUAUGAAAGAUGAACUUAUGCGAAAGCAUUUACCAAGGAUGUUUUCAUUAA